rnacentral:rRNA from 1 species
UUUAUUGGAGAGUUUGAUCCUGGCUCAGGACGAACGCUGGCGGCGUGCCUAAUACAUGCAAGUCGAGCGAACUUGCGGGAGCUUGCUCCCAAAAGUUAGCGGCGGACGGGUGAGUAAC